GAUUAAUAAUGAUGUUUUAAUGGCAUUGCAGUAUAAGCAUCAUAACAAAAUGUGUAGAUACAUAAAUACAUACAUAAAUACAUAACUAUUAGAAGCAGGACUGAAUCUUUACGUUGCGCUUAUAAGCAAAAAUAUGAGAUGAAAUUAUUUCAACAAUGAUUUAUGGCAAAGACCGUAUCAUCAUCAAAGAUCUGAAGCUAAAACUAUGAAUUAUGAAUUAAUUCCUCAAAUGAUUGUUUUACACCACAAAACAGCAUUUAAAGUACUGACUCCAGUGGUUUAACCUCAAUUUUAUGAAGUGACGAGUGCUUUGUCUGCGCAAAAAACAAACAAACAAAAAAAUUCACCACUUAAUUUACAAAAAUAUCAAUCUGCGGAAGCGCGUUCAUGAGAGCAUCACGACGCAUGUGUUGUGUUCAGACUCGCGCGUUUUAUUCGUUAAAGAGUUGAAGUUACUUGAAAAUUAAAAUUGUAUAUGCUGUCUUCCUUCUUUAACAAUUUAUUAAUGAUGUAUUUGCUUAUUUUCAUUAUUUCUACUUAAAUCAAUAUUACAUAUAUCUUUUUUUAAAGAAUUGUAAACCCAAUCAUUUUAGUUGUAAUGUCUUUGGAUGUCUUGAUAUAGUUGUAACUGUUUUAUGUGUGUUUUUUUAAUAUGUAAUAAUAAAAAAAAAAAGUAAAAAAAAAACCGAAAAAAAAAAAAAACCUUGAACACAGACUUGCGUGUACACGAGAGCGUCACAUGCAUUUUGUGUUCACGAGGGGAUGGCCAAGAUGGCGACCUUGACAGUGGUAGUUGCUUUGGAUCUCUAUGGAAGGACAGAAAGCUCUCAAAUUUCAUUAAAAAUAUCUUCAUUUGUGUUCCGAAGAUGAGCGAAAGUCUUACGGAUGUGGAACGACAUGAGGUGAUGUCAAAUAUGUUGGAGCCGACUGAGCUGGAGACGGCCAUGUCGCCGAGACCUUUCCGGGCAACAAUAACACUGGUGAUGAGAUCAGGAAUGGAGAAGUGCAAUUCCUAUGAAGAUUCCGGCAACUACGGUUAGAUUCUCCUGUAGCCAUUUCUCGAACUGUGGCACACAUCCUUUUGU